GACGAACGCUGGCGGCGUGCUUAACACAUGCAAGUCGAACGGUAAGGCUCCAGCUUGCUGGGGUACACGAGUGGCGAACGGGUGAGUAACACGUGGGUGACCUGCCCUGCACUUCGGGAUAAGCCUGGGAAGCUGGGUCUAAUACCGGAUAGGACCAUGGUGUGGAUACUGUGGUGGAAAGUUUUUUCGGUGUGGGAUGGGCCCGCGGCCUAUCAGCUUGUUGGUGGGGUAAUGGCCUACCAAGGCGGCGACGGGUAGCCGGCCUGAGAGGGUGGACGGCCACAUUGGGACUGAGACACGGCCCAGACUCCUACGGGAGGCAGCAGUGGGGAAUAUUGCACAAUGGGCGGAAGCCUGAUGCAGCGACGCCGCGUGGGGGAUGACGGCCUUCGGGUUGUAAACUCCUUUCACCAUCGACGAAGGGUUUCUGACGGUAGAUGGAGAAGAAGCACCGGCUAACUACGUG
rnacentral:rRNA from 1 species